rnacentral:misc_RNA from 1 species
GAUGAAGAACGCAGCGAAAUGCGAUAAGUAAUGUGAAUUGCAGAAUUCAGUGAAUCAUCGAAUCUUUGAACGCACCUUGCGCCCUUUGGCCAUUCCGAAGGGCAUGCCUGUUUGAGUAUCAUGAACACCUCAACUCUCAUGGCUCGCCAUGAUGAGCUUGGACUUUGGGGGUCUUGCUGGCCUGUGGUCGGCUCCUCUCAAAUGGAUCAGCUUGCCAGUGUUUGGUGACAUCACAGGUGUGAUAACUAUCUGCGCUUGUGGUUUUCCAUCAGAUAACCUUCAGUGAUGGAGGUUCGCUGGAGCUCAUAAACGUCUCCCCUAAGCGGGGACAGCCCUUUGAAUGUUUGAUCUCAAAUCAGGUAGGACUACCCGCUGAACUUAAGCAUAUCAAUAAGCGGAGGA